rnacentral:rRNA from 1 species
GAUGAACGCUAGCUACAGGCUUAACACAUGCAAGUCGAGGGACCGGCGCACGGGUGAGUCACACGUAUCCCCCCUGCCCUUUACUCGGGGAUAGCCUUUCGAAAGCAAGAUUAAUACCCGAUGUAACGGUUGGGGAUGCGUUCCAUUAGGUUGUUGGUGAGGUAACGGCUCACCAAGCCUUCGAUGGAUAGGGGUUCUGCGAGGAAGGUCCCCCACAUUGGAACUGAGACACGGUACAAACUCCGACGGGAGGCAGCAGUGAGUAAGAUUGGUCAAUGGGCGUUAGCCUGAACCAGCCAAGUAGCGUGAAGGAUGAAGGCUUAUGGGUCGUAAACUUCUUUUAUAUAAGAAUAUGUAUUAUAUGAAUAAGGAUCGGCUAACUCCGUGCCAGCAGCCGCGGUAAUAC